UAGGGAAUAUUAGAAAUGGACGAAAGUCUGAUCUAGCAACACCGCGUGUGCGAAGAAGGCCUUCGGGUCGUAAAGCACUUUUUGGAAGGAAUAGGAAGGAAUGUACUUCCAGAAUAAGUCUCGGCUAACUACGUGCCAGCAGCCGCGGUAACACGUAGGAGGCGAACGUUAUCCGGAUUUACUGGGCGUAAAGCGCGCGUAGGUGGUACUGUAAGUAGGGCGUGAAAGCUCCUGGCUCAACUGGGAGAGGCCGUUCUAAACUACAGAACUAGAGGAUGGUAGAGGGAGGUGGAAUUCCAGGUGUAGCGGUGGAAUGCGCAGAUAUCUGGAGGAACACCGGUAGCGAAGGCGGCCUCCUGGACCAUUCCUGACACUCAGACGCGAAAGCUAGGGUAGCAAACGG
rnacentral:rRNA from 1 species